rnacentral:rRNA from 1 species
CCGUAGGGUGAACCUGCGGAGGGAUCAUUACACAAAUAUGAAGGCGGGCUGGAACCUCUCGGGGUUACAGCCUUGAUGAAUUAUUCACCCUUGUUUUUUGUGUACUUCUUGUUUCCUUGGUGGGUUCGCCCACCACUAGGACAAACAUAAACCUUUUGUAAUUGCAAUCAGCGUCAGUAACAAAUUAAUAAUUACAACUUUCAACAACGGAUAUAUUGGUUCUGGCAUCGAUGAAGAACGCAGAGAAAUGAGAUAAGUAGUGUGAAUUGCAGAAUUCAGUGAAUCAUCGAAUUUUUGAACGCACAGUGCGCCCAUUGGUAUUCCAAAGGGCAUGCGGGUUCGAGCGUCAUUAGUACCCUCUAGCCUUGCUAGGUGUUGGGCGUCUUGUCUCUAGCUUUCCGGAGACUCGCCUUAAAGUAAUUGGCAGCUGGCCUACUGGUUUAGGAGCGCAGCACAAGUCGCACUCUGGAUCAGCAAAGGUUUAGCAUCCAAUAAGCCUCAUUCUACGGUGACCUCGGAUCAGGUAGAUC